rnacentral:rRNA from 1 species
UACGUAGGGGGCAAGCGUUGUCCGGAUUUAUUGGGCGUAAAGAGCGUGUAGGCGGCCUGGAAGGUCAGCUGUGAAAACUCGAGGCUCAACCUCGAGACGUCGGUUGAAACCACCUGGCUAGAGUCCGGAAGAGGAGAGUGGAAUUCCUGGUGUAGCGGUGAAAUGCGCAGAUAUCAGGAGGAACACCGGUGGCGAAGGCGGGUCUCU